rnacentral:ncRNA from 1 species
GUGUUGAAUGAAAGGAGAGAUGUUUAGCACUCCCCUCGACAAGGACGGAAUCAACACAUAGGUUCGUCGGGGGCACACACUGCUUACUUUGCGGUGUCCGACAACCCAUGAAAUUUUUUUC